rnacentral:rRNA from 1 species
GACGAACGCUGGCGGCGUGCUUAACACAUGCAAGUCGAACGGAAAGGCCCUGCUUUUGUGGGGUGCUCGAGUGGCGAACGGGUGAGUAACACGUGAGUAACCUGCCCUUGAUUUUGGGAUAACUUCAGGAAACUGGGGCUAAUACCGGACAGGAGCUCCUGCUGCUUGGUGGGGGUUGGAAAGUUUCGGCGGUUGGGGAUGGACUCGCGGCUUAUCAGCUUGUUGGUGGGGUAGUGGCUUACCAAGGCUUUGACGGGUAGCCGGCCUGAGAGGGUGACCGGCCACAUUGGGACUGAGAUACGGCCCAGACUCCUACGGGAGGCAGCAGUGGGGAAUAUUGCACAAUGGGCGGAAGCCUGAUGCAGCAACGCCGCGUGCGGGAUGACGGCCUUCGGGUUGUAAACCGCUUUCGCCUGGGACGAAGCGUGAGUGACGGUAAUGGGUAAAGAAGCACCGGCUAACUACGUG